rnacentral:rRNA from 1 species
GAGUGAACGCUGGCGGUAGGCCUAACACAUGCAAGUCGAACGGCAGCCCAGUAAGAGCUUGCUCUUACGGGUGGCGAGUGGCGGACGGGUGAGGAAUACAUCGGAAUCUACUUUUUCGUGGGGGAUAACGUAGGGAAACUUACGCUAAUACCGCAUACGACCUACGGGUGAAAGCAGGGGAUCUUCGGACCUUGCGCGAUUGAAUGAGCCGAUGUCGGAUUAGCUAGUUGGCGGGGUAAAGGCCCACCAAGGCGACGAUCCGUAGCUGGUCUGAGAGGAUGAUCAGCCACACUGGAACGGAGACACGGUCCAGACUCCUACGGGAGGCAGCAGUGGGGAAUAUUGGACAAUGGGCGCAAGCCUGAUCCAGCCAUACCGCGUGGGUGAAGAAGGCCUUCGGGUUGUAAAGCCCUUUUGUUGGGAAAGAAAAGCAGCAGGUUAAUACCCCGCUGUUCUGACGGUACCCAAAGAAUAAGCACCGGCUAACUUCGUG